rnacentral:rRNA from 1 species
UAAUGUCUGGGAAACUGCCUGAUGGAGGGGGAUAACUACUGGAAACGGUAGCUAAUACCGCAUAACGUCGCAAGACCAAAGAGGGGGACCUUCGGGCCUCUUGCCAUCGGAUGUGCCCAGAUGGGAUUAGCUAGUAGGUGGGGUAACGGCUCACCUAGGCGACGAUCCCUAGCUGGUCUGAGAGGAUGACCAGCCACACUGGAACUGAGACACGGUCCAGACUCCUACGGGAGGCAGCAGUGGGGAAUAUUGCACAAUGGGCGCAAGCCUGAUGCAGCCAUGCCGCGUGUAUGAAGAAGGCCUUCGGGUUGUAAAGUACUUUCAGCGG